GUCCCUAUCGUCUAGAGGCCUAGGACACCGCCCUUUCACGGCGGUAACACGAGUUCGAAUCUCGUUGGGGACGCCA
rnacentral:tRNA from 1 species